rnacentral:rRNA from 1 species
GACGAACGCUGGCGGCGUGCCUAAUACAUGCAAGUCGCACGCAGUGGGGCCGGGUGAGUAACACGUGGGUAACCUCCCAUCAGAGGGGAUAACACUUGGAAACAGGUGCUAAACCUAUACUGAUGGAUGGACACGCGGUGCAUUAGCUAGUUGGUGAGGUAACGGCUCACAAAGGCCACGAUGCAUCGACGACCCGAGAGGGGGAUGGGCCACACUGGGACGGAGACACGGCCCAGAAUCCGACGGGAGGCAGCAGUAGGGAACCUUCGGCAAUGGACGAAAGUCUGACCGAGCAACGCCGCGUGAGUGAAGAAGGUUUUCGGAUCGUAAAACUCUGUUGUUAGAGAAGCGGUAUCUAACCAGAAAGCCACGACUAACUACGUGCCAGCAGCCGCGGUAAUAC